rnacentral:rRNA from 1 species
GACGAACGCUGGCGGCGUGCUUAACACAUGCAAGUCGAGCGGUAAGGCCCUUUCGGGGGUACACGAGCGGCGAACGGGUGAGUAACACGUGGGUGACCUGCCCUCAGCUCUGGGAUAAGCCUGGGAAACCGGGUCUAAUACUGGAUAUGACUCCAUGACGCAUGUUGUGGGGUGGAAAGCCUUGUGCGGCUGAGGAUGGGCCCGCGGCCUAUCAGCUUGUUGGUGGGGUGANGGCCUACCAAGGCGACGACGGGUAGCCGGCCUGAGAGGGCGACCGGCCACACUGGGACUGAGACACGGCCCAGACUCCUACGGGAGGCAGCAGUGGGGAAUUGUUCGCAAUGGGCGCAAGCCCUGACGACGCAACGCCGCGUGGAGGAUGAAGGUCUUCGGAUUGUAAACUCCUGUUGCUCGGGACGAAAAGCUUCG